GGGCCCUUAGCUCAGUCGGUUAGAGCACACGACUCAUAAUCGUUCGGUCCCCGGUUCGAGCCCGGGAGGGCCCACCA
rnacentral:tRNA from 2 species